rnacentral:lncRNA from 1 species
GCACAAACUGCAGUUGUAAUCCAGGAUUCACGGGCCUGUAGGGGCUCAGACUUCAAAUUGAACCGCGCCUCGGCGGCAGCCACAGGUGUAAUACACGAGGCCCAGGUACCAGAAGGUGUCCAGCAGGGCCUUGGCGGCGCCCUAGCAGCUGAGGUCCAGCCGCUGCGCGCCCAGGUUCAUCUCAUUAGUGGACGCCGCGGGCCCGCGAGUUCGGAGCAGCGCGUGUAUCUGUGGGUCUUUGGGGCUGGCCUCGCUAGCCUACCAGCUUCCUUUCGGUGAUGCUCUUUGCUACCGCCAGGCUCCUGACCCCAGCUUGGACAGCAGGCCGCCGAGCGCCCCUGACGCCCGUUACCGAGAUGGCUGCGCAGAAGGGUAACCCAGAAUGACAUCUAUGCCUUUCAUCUGUAAAAUAACAACAACAGUGGGCUCUGGGAACACAGACUAAGACUCCUUAACCACAGCCAUAGAUCCUACGAUGCCUGGAGAAAUUCUAGGCCUCACAUCUGGAGUGGCUGUGGGGCUGUGAUCUCUCCUAGAACCUCAGAGGCAUGAAGCUAGAAUAUCUUCCCCUUCAAGGAGAAUAAGCCAAGAACACAAGAAGAUCAGAGGCUGUAAGGAGCUGCUAUAAGGCCUUCUCCCAGUCACUUCCCUCUCUCUCCUGAGAGGCUGUCUUGAAUGAAUUUCUCAUCACUUACCAGAUUCUGAUGAGGGUAUAUGAGACAAGGACCUGGGGAGUUGGCCUCUUUGGUUCAUUCUUUGUACUGUUUAUCUAUGGUUGUUGCGGCCUUUGUUGAUGACAUUCAGCAUUGACUUCUUGGGUAAGGUAUUCAGUAGUUAAGAUUCAAUGACUCCAGUGAAAGGUAUGUUUCCAUCGUGAUGUUCUUCUUCUGGACAAUAAGUGAAAAGAGCAUGUGAGUACCUCUCUCACUCCCAGCAAAUAAUUGUUGUGUCACCUCCACAUGUUUCUUCACGAUUCGAGGCUUUGAUUUCCCCUGCAAGACAAAAUGCAAUGAAGUGAUACAGAAAAAAAGAAAUUCUAUGCUGUCAUCACACUAGACCAUGAUGUUGAUUUAUGGAUGGUCUGCUUUCUUAUAUGCACUUAAUAUUUUUGUACAAGCAAACCUGAAAAGUGUCAAAAUCCCCUUUAACAGAUUAACAGGCUGAGAUGGGUUAAAGUGAGCAAGCCGGGAAGUGGUGGAGCUGGGAUCCACACCCUGGUCUGUCUGAGUCCAGAUGUAAUCAUCUUGCAUUCACUAUGGCAUGUUUCCCUUAUGUUAAGGGUUGCUGACAUAGACAGUGCAUGUCAUUCCUUUUGGUAUGGUCUUCCUCCUUUCUAGCUUUUUUCUGCCUGGAAGAUCCAGGCACCCAAGAGAAUGGAGCUUCCAUGUAAAUUUGCAGAAUCCCUAGGAUGAAAGCGGAGAGGAUCUACCCUGAAACCAACAAGUCUAGGAUGCACAUCUCUGCCUUUUUUUCAGAAUUAGGAAGGGGCAGGCAGAUGGGCAAUUGACAGGAAUAGUAGAAGCAUCCUCGGGGAAGUUGGCUACUUUACUUAGUGAGAAAGCAAUGGAAAGUGACAUUUGUAACUGAGUUUUAAGUGAAGUACAGUCCUAAGAGAGGAGCUCUGAAAAACAGCUGUUACCUGAGAUUGGGAAUGUUAAAGACCUUCUCAGAGCCUGACUGUACUCACAGCUGGACCUAGCUAUCAGAAGAGGGACUGCAACAUACCUGAGAAACUUUCAGAAUACUUAACGGAAGCAGAGUCAGGGGAAGUGAUUUUGAUAGUAGUCCAUGAGAAAAAAAUACGGUGUUUUAAAAUGCAAAUGAACUAAAAUUUAAAUCCUGCUCUCUCAGUAGCUAUGCAGCCUUAGGCGAGUUAAUAUCUUUGACCUUAGUAUUUCUCAGGUGUAAAGAGGGAUAAUUACCUACUCAGAACUUCACCUCUCCCAAGAAAGCUUUCCUGACCAUGUGCUGGCCCUUCCUUUACAUUGGGAUUAAAGUACCCCCCCCCGUUUUUCCAGGCUUUCUUGACUUUAAUUCUGUCAUAGCUCUAAUUAAGAACCUCUGUAAUGAUCUGUCUGCAAGCUUGUGAGAAAUUUGAGGACUGGGAACCAGCCUGAAACAUGUCUGUUCCCCUCUGAGUCAACACAGUGCCUGGGAUCUGGUGUCCAGUAGGGAUUUAAAGCAUAUUGAUUGAAUGAGAAAUGAUGACAGGAUCUACAUGGAUCACAAAGGAUAGUUGUUAUUUUACCUGUUAACUAUUUAAUAGCGAAAUUAAAUGAAAUAUGAAUUAACCUAGGACCAGGGAAGGUGGGGUAAGUUGUGUCUUUCACAUCAACCUUCAUAUGUUCCCCAAUUUUUUCUUCCUUCAUGUACCUAGGACACUCUUGUUCAAACACAAAGGUGGUUUUAUUUUGGGUCUAUACUAGCUAGUUCCCUAGAAAGGUCUUAAAUACAAAAUGAAUGGAAUACAAAAUAACCUCCCUCAUUGUUUUUUUUCCCGGACAAAUGACAGGAUGCAUACAGAACUGCUACUUUUGUGAUGUUGCAAGUAAUGGUAUAGAUGUGCACAAAUCAUGGAUGUGGUCCCAGUGAUCCAUGGAAAUGUGAAGUCCAGGAAGGUAUGUGGCCCUUCCUGAGGUGUGUUCUAAGUUGGUCUCCUAGGGUCCUGAAGGGGACUCCUGGAUGGUCUGUGGAAGGUGUUCUACCUAGAGGCAGCCUCUUAUGGGGGUGGCUCCUGCCCACCUCUGCUGCUUAUGCUGCAGUUACUGGUGUUGCUUGGAAGCUGCCUCCAGGACGUCCUUCACCUUUCUGUUCUCCUCAAACCACUUUCUGGAGGGCCAGCCAGAAGGAUUUUGGAAUCAUCAUUCCAUCCCUCAACUCCUCCCUUCAGCUUCCCUUCAUUGUGCUGUGGAAGAAGAGCUCUUCGCUGAAUGCAGAGUGGAUGUUUCCAUAGAACAGCUGGCUCAUUUGACUCCGCAAGUCCUCCUACUUUACCUGUCGGUUUAUCAUCAGCUUCUCUUUGGAAGUAAGCAAGGCAGGGUGGGGGCCUCUUACCUCUGACCUCACUUUCCUAUCCCUUGCAUUGCAUCAGAAAGAUCCUCUGUGUCUCUAUGGGGAGAGGA